GGAAGUAAAAGUCGUAACAAGGUCUCCGUAGGUGAACCUGCGGAGGGAUCAUUACAAGUGACCCCGGUCUAACCACCGGGAUGUUCAUAACCCUUUGUUGUCCGACUCUGUUGCCUCCGGGGCGACCCUGCCUUCGGGCGGGGGCUCCGGGUGGACACUUCAAACUCUUGCGUAACUUUGCAGUCUGAGUAAACUUAAUUAAUAAAUUAAAACUUUUAACAACGGAUCUCUUGGUUCUGGCAUCGAUGAAGAACGCAGCGAAAUGCGAUAAGUAAUGUGAAUUGCAGAAUUCAGUGAAUCAUCGAAUCUUUGAACGCACAUUGCGCCCCCUGGUAUUCCGGGGGGCAUGCCUGUUCGAGCGUCAUUUCACCACUCAAGCCUCGCUUGGUAUUGGGCAACGCGGUCCGCCGCGUGCCUCAAAUCGACCGGCUGGGUCUUCUGUCCCCUAAGCGUUGUGGAAACUAUUCGCUAAAGGGUGCUCGGGAGGCUACGCCGUAAAACAAACCCAUUUCUAAGGUUGACCUCGGAUCAGGUAGGGAUACCCGCUGAACUUAAGCAUAUCAAUAAGCCGGAGGAAAAUCACAUCUCCAAAAGAAACGGGCAAAAGAUGAAUGUUUUUUAAGCAGUCGAGUUAGCUACGAGAUAUGAUUAUUUGUAUUUAUAUGCAGGUG
rnacentral:rRNA from 1 species